rnacentral:rRNA from 1 species
CCCGGGCGGCCCGGCGCCCGCCGGACAACGACGAGACCCCCCAAACGUCGACCUCGAAUCAGGUAGGGAUACCCGCUGAACUUAAGCAUAUCAAUAAGCGGAGGAAAAGAAACCAACAGGGAUUGCCUCAGUAACGGCGAGUGAAGCGGCAGCAGCUCAAAUUUGAAAUCUGGCGCCCCCCGGCGUCCGAGUUGUAAUUUGCAGAGGAUGCUUCGGCGUAGGCGCCGCCCAAAGUUCCUUGGAACGGGACGUCGCAGAGGGUGAGAGCCCCGUGUUCGGGCGGAUGCCUUCGCCGUGUGAAGCUCCUUCGACGAGUCGAGUUGUUUGGGAAUGCAGCUCAAAACGGGAGGUAAAUUUCUUCCAAAGCUAAAUACCGGCCGGAGACCGAUAGUGCACAAGUAGAGUGAUCGAAAGAUGAAAAGCACUUUGGAAAGAGAGUCAAACAGCGCGUGAAAUUGUUGAAAGGGAAGCGCUUGCGGUCAGAACUUGGCCGCCGUUGCUCGGGGAGGCCUCGCGCCUCCCUCGCUCUUCGGCGGCUGGGCCAGCAUCGGUUCGGGCGGCUCGAGAAAGGCCGCGGGAACGUAGCUCCCUCCGGGGAGUGUUAUAGCCCGCGGCGCAAUGGGGCCCGCCCGGAUCGAGGUCUGCGCAUCUG